CCUGCCGUAUCACCGGCAGUUUCUUACCUUGGCAUGCAUUACUGGUAACGGUUUUGUGUGAAGCCCAGGGGACAAUGGAGUCCUUAGCCGAUCGAAGCCCAGUUGGGAGAUAAUCCUCUGGUUAGAGAUGAAGAACUUUGUCUUCACAAAACAG
rfam:Desulfamplus magnetovallimortis isolate PRJEB14757 genome assembly, scaffold: MTBBW1_scaffold1